rnacentral:lncRNA from 1 species
ACUAAUUUGCAGCAUCUGAUUAAUUAAAUGAGUAUCCAAAUAAUCUGGUAAUUAAUUAGAACAAUUAAUAUCUCGAAAUAUUAUAUUGAAACGCUAGCCCAAAUCUCACACUAGACCAUGGAGCAUCUAAAAAAAUUGCAAAAGACAUCUUAUGAAUAAAUAAUAAAGACUCUUUUGGCAGCCUCCACGAACAAUGCGGCGGCUCACCUCAAUAAUUGAAUCAACUUUAGCGAAAUCGUCAGCUACUACCUUUGUCUUCACCAAUAGUAUCUGCAUAGACAUGUAGGUAAGGAGUGAGUUAUACGUAAAUAUAAUUAAGUAAGAUCCUCGACCCGCCACUCUGAAUAUCUCUGGAUCAAGUAUUAGAAAAUACAAAUACACAAAGAGCACAAAAAUAAUAUGCACAAAAUAUUUUUUACCAUAUAAUUACUCUAUAUGUCCAAACAAUUAUUCAUCAACAACACUAUAUAUCUUAGCACAAUCUACACUAAGGACUCAUCAUAAACGGCAUUGCAGAAAAUUAACCAAACACUCCAACGAGUCCACGACAGCAUACACAAUGCCCCAAAUCUACCACGGCGGCAUACACAAUGCCCCAAAUACAUUACGACAACAAAGGAAUAAUUUCUAACGCCCCAACGCCAUAGCACGAGGUUACGUCACAUCACACUACACCACAAAUUACUUAUUAAAUAAUUUUAACUUUUUUUUAAAAAAAUAAUAUAUAUUUGUGGCUGGUCAAAGAUCACCGAUUCUGCCAAGCGUACGCUCAUCCCAACACAUGGACCAGACAGACAAAAUAUACUUUUAAAACGGAUUUUGAAAAGGCAAGCAUCAAAGCUUAAAGUCUCACUUACCUCGCUAAUGGAAAGUUCUCCAAUCUUACAAUGCCCAACCAACCAACCAAACGGUCUCCAAUAGUCUCCAUCUAUCCAAAAAUUAAUUAACGAUAUCAAUAAUUCUAGUCGGGUUCAAAUCUCAAUAUCCUUAACUUUCAAACUUAGAGUUGUAUCUUAAUAUUCUACCAGUUAAAUACCAUAUUUUAAAGGUAAAGACAUAUCCAAUAUCUCAAUAUCCUAUUUGUGAACUCAAUUUUUUCGUAAUGGUAUUUGCUAUCAUUAGUACAAUUAUUAGUCAAUGAUGUCUUCUAAUAAAUAAAAAGUGGCAAGCUACAUCCAAAAAUAUAUUUUAUAGCAGUAACUUUUAACACCUCAAAUAUCAUUGUCUAAUUCACUGGGAAAAUAAUUAUCAUAUCCAUAAACCAAAAGAUCCAAUACAAAAGGCAUAUCAGCGUUUGGUAUUACCUGAAUAUUUUGCUUUCUUCCUAAUUGGGUACGGAUUGCACCUACCGUGAAUCCUUGGUUGCUGUCCCUCUUCUUCAAGCCAAUGUCUGCUCCUUUUU